CAGAAUUCCCAUAAAUGACAGACUUGGUACCCAAUACGCGUCCAGGCGACAUACUUCUUACUCAAUGUGCCUAGAGGCUAGCCCCAUCCACGCAAUUUCGUGCUCGCUUUUAGCUCACUCAAUAACCAUACCAACAUUAACUCUCUCCUGUAGUUUUACAGAAAUAAUGGAUACAUCAACAUCCUGCUAAUAAAUGGUGCUCGCAUCAAAUGCUAUUCACAUCCCAAUGACUACAUAGAGACAACUGAAAAAUGCCGCUAACAUCAAAAGCAAGCAACAAGCUUUCUGGGGUCUAAAGACAAUACCCUCAUCUUUGUUUACAGAAAACGCGAUUUUUAAACAAGCAACAGGAAUAGUCCAACUCUCAUGGAUGAUAGAACAUUAACAAAUAGGGUUCGAAACCAAAACAAGAUACCUCACCAGUUGCCACAGGGUUUCACCAAACCCACAUAAAACUGAGUCAAAUCAACCAUUAACAACCCCCAAGCUUUCUUUUCAGAAGCAAUACGGCAGUUUAGCCCAACAUCCAUACAAAAUUAAGCUACUGGUUCUAUCAAACAAAAUUUAUAGAUUAUCCGCCAACAGAAUCUCAGUUGCUCAACUAUUUUCAUGCAGUGUUAUUUCAUAACAAGACAUAUUUCUAUUUGUCAAAUAGAGCAUCAAAACAACAACCCGGAGCAAAUCUAUCACAGAUACACUAUAAUAACACAGCAAUUCACCAAUCAAAAAAAGAAACUAAAAUUAAAAUUUUUCAAUUCCUUCUUAAGCACAUACAACAAUACCCUUAAAAGGAGAAUUUCUUUGUCUAAACUUAUAAUAACAAAAA